GCAGUGAAGGGAGGAAGGGAGGUCUCACUGAAGCGGGUUCUGCCUCCUGUGAUCGACAGUUACAUUUCUGAAGAAAAGCUGAGACAAAGUGCUGUUCUAGUGAAAGUAGAACUGUGCCUCUCUGGGAAGCCGCACACUGGGAUCUCAACAAGGGAAGACGACAAAGGAAGCAUCAUCUCUAUCCAACAAACUGACUUCAAGCCCUAGCAGGUCUGUGCAUGUAAGAGAAGGGCCGGGUAACGUCGACACCUGCAUGUGCUGAACAGGUUUGGACAGAAACGUUGCUUCAGCUGAACCAGAAACAUUUCCACUGUUCUGAAAAUGCCCCUUUUCACCUACAGGACUCCAGGCUUUGUUCCAGCUGAAUUCUCAUUAUCCAGUAGUCUGGUUUUGCUCCCAUCAGACCAUGUUUUCUCAUCAUUUCAUCUAUCCUUGACAUACCCGACACCCAAACAGCUCUCCAGCCAAGAGAACAUUUUGACAGAGCUGCUUGCUGUUAUGACAUUCUAACCUGUCCUUACAGAAAGGGAUGAAAUCAAUUUCAUCCUGCACAAGCAACGAGGUUUGUCUCAUUAAUCAGAAAUCUAUGCUGUUUCUUUAAAUUAGAUUAUUUCUACUUCACCAGUUUCUCUCAGAUGUAUUGAUUAACUUAAUCAAGUUAAAUGAAUGGGAAUCUGUUCCCAGCUUGGACUUCUAGCUGCUGCACCUGAGUCAGACUUCAGCAGAUCACAAAGUGGGCAAAAGCUCUCCUGCUGCUCCCACCACUGAUCACUGACUUGAUAAAAGACUGCAUCUUUUCCUGCAAACUCUGCUUUACUUCAAAGUGCAUUACCAAGUCAUUUGUUUUCACAGCAAUCAUAAGAACUUGGCUGCCUUGUUAAGCUUGACCAAAACUGGAAAGCUGUUUGUGAUUACACCAAGGUGACAAAAUGGUGGCUUACACAGGUGAGGUGUUGGCAUGGCUGAAGUUAAUCACUGCAGCUGUGCACUUCCUCACCCAAUAGAAAACUCUAGCAAAGCGACUGAUCAAAAAAGACAGAGCAAGCACCAAAGCAGAUAAGUGAAAUGCAAACCAUGCUUUGAGAAAAGAGCUCAAACUCCAGCAAAGUUUCUUUCAGGAAAAACACACCAACGAUAUUGGGGGGAAAAAAAAAAGCCCUUUUUGCUGCUGUGGCUUAAAGACUGCUAUAAUUUGGAGAAGGAGAGAAAGGCAAUCUAGGUAAAUGGUAUAUCAUCAGGUGGCACAAUGCUGAACCUCAGUCUCUCCAUCUGCAAAGUGGGAGAAAGUACAUACAUAACCUGCAGGUGUAUGUUUGAGAAUGCUGUAUGUAAGAGUGACAACGGAACCAUGCCACUGAUUUCAGCGGGCUCAAGAACAGACCUGUAAAUAUAAACAGCCCACCAUUCCAUGGUCCUCCUCAGC